rnacentral:tRNA from 1 species
GUAAGACCGCAAGAGACUAAGACCAGAAAGCCCGAAAUGGGGUAGCCGAAGGCUACUGCAAUUAGAUUCAUUAGAAAUGCAGCCAUGGACCCAUUAUUCAGAAGUUAAUGGCGCCGGUGGAGGCGAGGUCAGGCGAGGCAACUUUCCAUUGUAAUUGUAAGGAGCCACACUAGCCAACUGAGGGAGGGAAAGUACGGAGUACCGUACCAGAGCAACUAACUAGUUAACUAGUGAUUCUUUGAUUCAUCAAUCAAUGGAUCAAGAAUCUUCCAGACUCCCAUACUCUCCCAUACUCGCGUCCGUAUAAUACUUCUCUUCUGCACCUCCACAUUUUCCCGUCCUUGAAAUCAGAAAAGCUUCCAUGUGCAAAAGAUGAAUGAGAACCACCGAUUUCGAUCGUCUCGUCAUGGCAAGAUGGCCGAGCGGUCUAAGGCGCUAGCUUAAGGUGGCCAAUCAGGUAUCUAUGAUCUGUACGAUUCUAUGAUUGACAUACGCUAGUCCGAAAGGGCGUGGGUUCGAAUCCCACUCUUGUCAAACGGUUUCUUUUUUUUCUCUUUUGGAUCUUCUUUCCAACGGAACGGCACCCCCCCCCCAAUUGCGGAUCUCAAUUGAUCUUGAGAUGAAUACUCUGUACAGGUGC